rnacentral:rRNA from 1 species
AUGGUUUUUUGUUGUUGUUCAUUUUCACUCGGGAUCCUUUGUUCUUUCAUGUUUCUAAGCAGAAUUACUAGUGGUGUUACUUACGAGGAUGGUGGAGUCGCGUGCGGCGAGGGUGAGGAUGUCGGCGCAGGAGACGGUGCCGGGGCAGGCGGUCUCAAGGGCGACCUUGAUCUCAUCGACGACCUCGAACCCUCUGAUGGAGUUCUUGUUGGGGUUGGACCCCUUCUCACUCACGAUGUUUGUGCUGUUGUCCAGCAGUACAGAAGCGUCGCAACCCUACACUCAAAAAGAAAGUUAUUGCUGGAAGAUGUUUUCUUAACGAGGCACCGAGAUGGGGUGUAG